GAAAUGGCUCCUUCCAAGCUUGUGGUCGCCAUGGAGACCAAGACUCGAGCUUGAGAUCUCUCAUUCUUUCACGCGUGAAGGUCGAAGUGGGAAUCGUGGUGGAUCAAGAUAGAGAGGCACGAUAGAGCUUUGUACAGUGUCCCAUGUGUGUAUGUGGAACAAGAUGCCGUGGUAGAGAUCAGUAAGAUCAGCUCCUCAUCAUCGAGGGAUGCGAUAGAAACUAGGAUCGAGUGAUCCCUGACUUUUUCAUUUCCAUCGCUAUCAAUGUUGCGCUUUACUAGAUUCAUUGGAUUGGCGGUGCUCCUCCCUGUGGAGCGUCGGCAAAAUCGCUGGUAGAUCUCUUAUAUGUUUUGAAUUAAAUAUCUAAGUUAGAAGCA